AGCCUGAUGAUGAGUCUCAAAUAGGACGAAAUGCGCAUCCUAGAU
rnacentral:hammerhead_ribozyme from 1 species